UACGGGGGGGGCAAGCGUUGUUCGGAAUUACUGGGCGUAAAGGGCUCGUAGGUGGCCAACUAAGUCAGACGUGAAAUCCCUUGGCUUAACCGGGGAACUGCGUCUGAUACUGGAUGGCUUGAGGUUGGGAGAGGGAUGCGGAAUUCCAGGUGUAGCGGUGAAAUGCGUAGAUAUUAGGAAGAACACCAGUGGCGAAGGCGGCUCACUGGUCCGGUACUGACGCUGAGGUGCGAAAGCGUGGGGAGCAAACAGG
rnacentral:rRNA from 1 species